rnacentral:rRNA from 1 species
AGAUUGAACGCUGGCGGCAUGCCUUACACAUGCAAGUCGAACGCGAAAGGAGGGGCAACUCUCCGAGUAGAGUGGCGAACGGGUGAGUAAUACAUCGGAACGUGUCCAGUAGCGGGGGAUAACCUCUCGAAAGAGAGGCUAAUACCGCAUACGACCUACGGGUGAAAGAGGGGGAUCGCAAGACCUCUCACUAUUGGAGCGGCCGAUGUCGGAUUAGCUAGUUGGCGGGUAAAAGCCCACCGAA